AGGUGAAAUUUGGUUCCUGAGGGUGAUUGGUAUGGCUUGUAAGAAUGUUGUAUCUACGGAGGUUGAAGUAUAAAUCAGGAUUAGAUACCCUGUUAUUUUUAAUUUUAAAUUAAUAGCUUGAAUAGUAAACAGUUAUGAUCUCGAAACUUAAAGAAUUUGGCGGUAUUUUAGUCUAGUUAGAGGAACCUGUUCAGUAAACGAUAUUCCACGAAUAAUCUUACUUUUUCUAGUGAUUGUGCAGUUUGUAUACCUCCAUUUGUCUAAGUAAUUUCAAAAGAAUAUACUGAAAUAAUUGAAUCUUUUAAUUAAUAAUUUAGGUCAAGGUGCAGCUUAUGGGAAAGAAUGAAAUGGGUUACAGUAAAACGAGUUUUUGUGCGGAUAAAAAAGUUAAAUAUUUUUUGAAGGUGGAUUUAAUAGUAAUUUUAUUUUAAUAUGAUAAUCUGAAAUUAGCUCUAAGGUGUGUA
rnacentral:rRNA from 1 species